CUUGAAUCACUUGUUGUAUAGGAGAUGCUUGUCUACUUCUCAAAUGGAAUGCUCUCUUGAUAUUUGCUCUGUUGACUCUUUCCAAGGCCCUAAACCACUGUCUGUAUGGCCCAGUGAAUGAUGAAUUGGACAGUGGAUUGAUGACUAGGCUCAAAGCCAGAUAUACGAGAAGGUUUAUCCAUAGCAACUUUCCUUCUCUUGGGCAUGGAGAAGGAGGGAAAGAGUUUGUGAAGCCUUCAGAGAACUCUGGAAACUUCACAGUGCUACUAACAUCAUGUCUCUAAGGUCUUUGUCUGCCUCUAAUAUAUCACUCAUGGUGACAUUUCAUGGCAGGUGCUUUAUUCUGUGUAACUGUAUGUUGCAAAAAUCUCACAUCAGUGGUGCUUUCCUAUGAUAUCAUAAGAUGUCAUUUCCUAUGAUGUCAUUUCCUAUGACAUUUCUCCUAUGACAUCACAACAAUGUGUCAAGUAUGGCAUUUGGAGCAUGCCUAAGACUCAC
ensembl:lncRNA